rnacentral:rRNA from 1 species
GAUGAACGCUGGCGGCGUGCCUAAUACAUGCAAGUCGAGCGAACGGACGAGAAGCUUGCUUCUCUGAUGUUAGCGGCGGACGGGUGAGUAACACGUGGAUAACCUACCUAUAAGACUGGGAUAACUUCGGGAAACCGUAGCUAAUACCGGAUAAUAUUUUGAACCGCAUGGUUCAAAAGUGAAAGACGGUCUUGCUGUCACUUAUAGAUGGAUCCGCGCUGCAUUAGCUAGUUGGUAAGGUAACGGCUUACCAAGGCAACGAUGCAUAGCCGACCUGAGAGGGGGAUAGGCCAACCUGGAACUGAGACAGGGUCCAGACUCCUAAGGGAGGGAGCAGUAGGGAAUCGUCCGCAAUGGGCGAAAGCCUGACGGAGCAACGGCGCGUGAGUGAUGGAGGUCUUCGGAUCGUAAAACUCUGUUUUUAGGGAAGAACAUAUGUGGAAGGAAAUGUGGACAUCUUGACGGUAACUAAUCAAGAAGCCACGGCUAACUACGUG